AAUUGUUAUGACGAAGAUGAAGAUGAAGAACCUUCAACUAUCGCCAAAAGAUCAUUCAUGAUCCAGUGAAGUCCUCUGAUGUCUUUCUGACCUUCCCAAGAUUCCUGGACAUAUAAGGAUUAAUUGAGCAAGAUUUUACUUUGAUGUUUGAUGAUGCCAUCUCUGCAAAGUUCCUGGAGAAGUGGCCCACCAUCUACAGGCAAAAAGUCCUCGAACAAAGCCGUGGUCUCACACAGUCAGAUGAUCUCCAGUACCUCGUCCAGAAUGCUGAAUCCACCACAGAAGUGGAAAGUGUAUGGGACAGUGACAUGUCGUCCAUUUUGAUCCUUGUACACCUGCUGCCACCGUCACCUCAUGGCCGCAAGAGACCAGGAGAGCUCUCCGCCAGACAAGCCAGUGAGCAUCUCAUAAAGUUCAUC